rnacentral:tmRNA from 1 species
GGGGGUGUAUUUGGUUUCGACGGGAUACAAGAAACCUAUGGAGCACGUCGAGGAUCCACCCGGCCUCGUAAAAAGGUGGAACUUAGUAAUUGGCGACAAUUACGCAAUGGCUGCCUAAGCUGCAGCCCGUUCAAUCUGGGAACUCCUGCUACCCAGUGCGAACGUCAGCUUAGCAGGAUAGCAAACGGCAAGCGGUCUGGGCUUGCUUAAGCGAAGUUUGAUCAGAACCGGCUGAUACCAUCCUGUUUGUUGGAGGGUAGAGGCUUAAAACUUAAAAAAUAAACUAAACGUGUAGUGCCAUAUGUGGAUCGUAUUUCGGACGGGGGUUCGAUUCCCCCCACCUCCAUAA